ensembl:lncRNA
AUAAAUAUCACGUGUGCAGUAUGCGACAGCAGCGGGAAACAGUAUAUUCAUGCAGUGUGCACAUGUCAAAAGAGUAAAUCCGAUCAGAAGCUUGUGACAUAUAAACGCGCAUAUCAACCCGGUCACCAUCAACCUCAGCUCUUCUUUCUCUUUAUCCUACAUCCUCAGCUCUUCUUUCUCCUACAUCCUCAGCUCUUCUUUCUCUUACAUCCUCAGCUCUUCUUUCUCUUUCUCCUACAUCCUCAGCUCUUCUUUCUCUUACAUCCUCAGCUCUUCUUUCUCUUUCUCCUACAUCCUCAGCUCUUCUUUCUCUUACAUCCUCAGCUCUUCUUUCUCUUUCUCCUACAUCCUCAGCUCUUCUUUCUCUUACAUCCUCAGCUCUUCUUUCUCUUUCUCCUACAUCCUCAGCUCUUCUUUCUCUUACAUCCUCAGCUCUUCUUUCUCUUUCUCCUACAUCCUCAGCUCUUCUUUCUCUUACAUCCUCAGCUCUUCUUUCUCUUUCUCCUACAUCCUCAGCUCUUCUUUCUCUUACAUCCUCAGCUCUUCUUUCUCUUUCUCCUACAUCCUCAGCUCUUCUUUCUCUUACAUCCUCAGCUCUUCUUUCUCUUUCUCCUACAUCCUCAGCUCUUCUUUCUCUUACAUCCUCAGCUCUUCUUUCUCUUUCUCCUACAUCCUCAGCUCUUCUUUCUCUUACAUCCUCAGCUCUUCUUUCUCUUUCUCCUACAUCCUCAGCUCUUCUUUCUCUUACAUCCUCAGCUCUUCUUUCUCUUUCUCCUACAUCCUCAGCUCUUCUUUCUCUUACAUCCUCAGCUCUUCUUUCUCUUUCUCCUACAUCCUCAGCUCUUCUUUCUCUUACAUCCUCAGCUCUUCUUUCUCUUUCUCUUACAUUCUCAGCUCUUCUUUCUCUUGCUCCUACAUCUUCAGCUCUUCUUGCACCUUCUCCUACAUCUUCAGCUCUUCUUGCUCUUUCUCCUUCUCCUCUUCCUCUUCUUCUCCCUCUACCCUGUCCACCACCUCUCACUCUUACACUUACACUUCUUCCUUUUCCACUGCUCAUUCUUCUUCUUUUUAUUGUCUUUUCUCCUCAUUCGUCUUUGUUGUUUUUCUCUUCCCCUUUUGUAUUUGUUGUAA